GCCAGGCCAGCAUCAGUUCAGGCGGUCGGAUAAAGACCCGGGGAAUGUAGCUCCUCUCGGGGAGUGUUAUAGCCCCGGGUGGAAUGCGGCCAGCUUGGACUGAGGAUCUCGCUUCGGCAAGGAUGCUGGCGUAAUGGUUGUAAGCCGCCCGUCUUGAAACACGGACCAAGGAGUCUAACAUCUAUGCGAGUGUUUGGGUGUCAAACCCAUACGCGUAAUGAAAGUGAACGGAGGUGGGAACCCGCAAGGGCGCACCAUCGGCCGAUCCUGAUGUCUUCGGAUGGAUUUGAGCAAGAGCAUAGCUGUUGGGACCCGAAAGAUGGUGAACUAUGCCUGAAUAGGGUGAAGCCAGAGGAAACUCUGGUGGAGGCUCGCAGCGGUUCUGACGUGCAAAUCGAUCGUCAAAUUUGGGUAUAGGGGCGAAAGACUAAUCGAACCAUUAAGAUAAGUAGUUUGUGCGAAAGCUUUUCGCUACUAGGUGGUUAAGAGGUGGCUAAAAGUGCCCACCUAGUCCUUCUAUCAGGGCGACACUGUUAAAUCGUUCGGGGACGCCCUUAGAGCUUAGACUACCGCGGCCCGCCGAAAGGCAGGGUGCAGCACCGGGGUAACGACCUAGGGUAUGGUAAUAACGUCUAAGAUUGGGCAACCCGCAGCCAAGCCCCUAAGUCCAGUAAAAUGGAUACGGGGAAGGUUCACAGACUAAAUAGCAGUGGGUUCGGCUGUAACAGGCCGGGUCUAAGAUAUAGUCGAUCCCCACGGAAACGUGGGCGGUGGGGCGAAGCUCAAAGGCAGAUAGGUGCGUCAAGCACGCCUUCAGGGCCCGAACCCCGCCGGGGAGCUGUUAUGGGCUUGCCUAGCAAGUCGUUGUGCAUGCUCAGGC
rnacentral:ncRNA from 19 species